GACUAAUGUUGAAAAAUUAGCGGAUGACUUGUGGCUGGGGGUGAAAGGCCAAUCAAACCGGGAGAUAGCUGGUUCUCCCCGAAAGCUAUUUAGGUAGCGCCUCGUGAAUUCAUCUCCGGGGGUAGAGCACUGUUUCGGCAAGGGGGUCAUCCCGACUUACCAACCCGAUGCAAACUGCGAAUACCGGAGAAUGUUAUCACGGGAGACACACGGCGGGUGCUAACGUCCGUCGUGAAGAGGGAAACAACCCAGACCGCCAGCUAAGGUCCCAAAGUCAUGGUUAAGUGGGAAACGAUGUGGGAAGGCCCAGACAGCCAGGAUGUUGGCUUAGAAGCAGCCAUCAUUUAAAGAAAGCGUAAUAGCUCACUGGUCGAGUCGGCCUGCGCGGAAGAUGUAACGGGGCUAAACCAUGCACCGAAGCUGCGGCAGCGACGCUGAUGCGUUGUUGGGUAGGGGAGCGUUCUGUAAGCCUGCGAAGGUGUGCUGUGAGGCAUGCUGGAGGUAUCAGAAGUGCGAAUGCUGACAUAAGUAACGAUAAAGC
rnacentral:rRNA from 1 species